rnacentral:rRNA from 1 species
AUUGAACGCUGGCGGCAGGCCUAACACAUGCAAGUCGAACGAGUGGCGGACGGGUGAGUAGUGUCUGGGAAACUGCCCGAUGGAGGGGGAUAACUACUGGAAACGGUAGCUAAUACCGCAUACCAUCGGAUGUGCCCAGAUGGGAUGAGCUAGUAGGUGGGGUAACGGCUAACAUAGGCGACGAUCCCUAGCUGGUCUGAGAGGAUGACCAGCCACACUGGAACUGAGACACGGUCCAGACUCCUACGGGAGGCAGCAGUGGGGAAUAUUGCACAAUGGGCGCAAGUCUGAUGCAGCCAUGCCGCGUGUGUGAAGAAGGCCUUCGGGUUGUAAAGCACUUUCAGCGGGGAGGCGUUACCCGCAGAAGAAGCACCGGCUAACUCCGUGCCAGCAGCCGCGGUAAUAC